rnacentral:rRNA from 1 species
UACGUAGGAUGCAAGCGUUGUCCGGAUUUACUGGGCGUAAAGCGCGCGCAGGCGGCACUCUAAGUACGCUGUGAAAUAUCCCGGCUCAACCGGGAGGGUGCAGUGUAGACUAGGGAGCUAGAGGUCGGUAGAGGGGGGUGGAAUUGGCUGGUGUAGCGGUGAAAUGCGUAGAGAUCAGCAGGAACACCCGUGGCGAAGGCGGCCCCCUGGGCCGUACCUGGACGCUGAGGCGGCGAAAGGCUAGGGGAGCGAACGGGG